GAUGAACGCUGGCGGCGUGCCUAAUACAUGCAAGUCGAGCGAACAGACGAGGAGCUUGCUCCUCUGACGUUAGCGGCGGACGGGUGAGUAACACGUGGAUAACCUACCUAUAAGACUGGGAUAACUUCGGGAAACCGGAGCUAAUACCGGAUAAUAUAUUGAACCGCAUGGUUCAAUAGUGAAAGACGGUUUUGCUGUCACUUAUAGAUGGAUCCGCGCCGCAUUAGCUAGUUGGUAAGGUAACGGCUUACCAAGGCAACGAUGCGUAGCCGACCUGAGAGGGUGAUCGGCCACACUGGAACUGAGACAUGGUCCAGACUCCUACGGGAGGCAGCAGUAGGGAAUCUUACGCAAUGGGCGAAAGCCUGACGGAGCAACGCCGCGUGAGUGAUGAAGGUCUUCGGAUCGUAAAACUCUGUUAUUAGGGAAGAACAAAUGUGUAAGUAACUAUGCACGUCUUGACGGUACCUAAUCAGAAAGCCACGGCUAACUACGUG
rnacentral:rRNA from 1 species